GUGGCGGUGGUGGGCGGCACCGGAAAGUUCCGGCUAGCUCGUGGCUACGCCACUUUUGAGACUCUUUCGUAUGACCAUGCGUCUCAUUAUGCUGUCAUUCAAUGCAAUAUUACUGCACUACACUACUAGUAGAAUUAGAUACUUUAUCCGUCCAUAUAAUUAAAUGUACUCCCUCCGUCCCGCGAAGCAUGACACACUUUCCAUUUUGGGUUGUCCCACGAAGCAUGACACGUUUCCUUUUUUGUCAAUAAUUAUUACAUUUUCUCUCCUACUUUAUCACCUUUAUUAUAUCCUCUCACCUACUUUAUCACUUUUAUUACCUUCUCUCUCCUACUUUAUCAAUUUUAUACUUUAUUAAUUACACACUUAAAACACUAAUCUACAAUUCCUUAAUUCCCGUGCCGAACUCAAACGUGUCAUGCUUCGCGGGACGGAGGGAGUAUUUAGUUUGUCAUCUUUAUUCGUCCAUAAUAAUUGUACCCAGUCUAUUUUUAGUAAAUUUUCACUUAUAAUUAAUAAAUUGAGACUAUUUCUCCACUCACAACACACUGAAUUAUUUUAUUAGAACUUGUGUCAUUUUAAAGUGUGGAAUUUAUAAGUACUUAGCAAGAGAAUUUUCCUUUUCAAAAUGUACCUGAGUUGUAACUCAAAAAAAAAAAAAAAGAAGGAAUUUUCGUCUCAAAUUUUGGAUAUGAUAACGGCAUUGUCUAUCAAAUGAAUAAAAUUUAUAGCUCAAAUUCAAUAAUUUGGUUAUACACUUAUACUCGAAUUUUUUUUGUACAUUAUUCUUGGUUAUAAAUGCGACUGGUGUAUCGCUGUUAAGUAUUUUUUAAGCAAGAGUUUAAUUAUUGCGAUUCGUUAAUUCAUAAAAGUCCUCUUUAUCAUAAUAGUAAUUAUUUUAUUAUUAGUAUUACUAUUAUUAUUAAUAAUAUACAUAAUUGUUUUUAUACAGUUCUGGCAAUAAUACUUGUAAUAAAUGAAUGCAUGUGAGAUAUUAAUGAUAAGGUGGACUGAGUCUAGUGCUUGAACAGGUCAGAUACACAAUUCACAUAUUUCUCCAUCUAACUGUAAUCAUUAAAAGUUUUUAUUUAAUUUUAUUUUAUUUGGAGAAAACUGGACACUUAAAUUCUUUUUCUAUUUGCUAUAAUAAAUUAUACGAACUAUAAAUUAUAAAAAAAAGAUUAAUUACCUAUAAAUAUGCGAACUAUAUCCAAAUUUUGGUUUUUAAACAAAUCUAUUUUGCAAUAAAAAUACACAUAAAUUAUUGUUUUUUUUAAAAAAAAAUUGACCUAAGCUCAAAGUUCGUUGGCUAAUAAUUUGAUUGUCUGAAAUUCAAUGGGCAAUCCGAAGAUGCUGUUGGAAAGCUCUUUAAGUUAUAUUUCUAAUAAUACUCAUAUUGUUAGAUUUUGAUAACUGAUAGUGGUCGAAAAAUGACAUGAAAAUCGAUGUCAUGAAACUCUAUAUUUAUUUUUCCCACCACUUCCGGUGAAACCCAACAAUAUGGGUAUCAUCAAGAGAUUUCCAGCAAUACCUUCAAAUUCUAAAAUGUUUAAAAAUUUAUGUAUUUGUUGACCAAAAAAUAGUUCAGAUUAAAAAUCAAAAUUUAGGUAUAGUUCUUGUAUUUAUAGCCAAUUAACCAAAAAAAACCCUAAAAGAGUUUAUAUAGAGUUAUAAGUCCAUCUCUUGAAUACACGAUGCGAAAAUCAUAUUUUUUUUAAAUAAAUAAAUAAAUUACUUGAUAUAGCAAGUAUUUUGAAAUUGAUUCAUAAGCAUUAAUUAUUUCACUAUUCCAACCACAACUUUUAAUAAAUUUAAAUUUUAGAAAUCAAGGAUUUAAAUGGACCUCUCUACUCUAUGCUAGUGUUUGUGUGUGUGAGUGUUUUGCAAAGAAAUAUCCUAUCGAACUUUGUUAAUACUAUUAGUUGACCCAUGUUUUAUUUCCCAUCACUCUACAAAAACCUUAAAUAAGAGAGAGAGAGAGAGAGUGAGUGUCGGUAAGUUGAAAUUUGAAAGUUAAUUACCAGUUUCAACCCCUUAUCUGGAUUGACUUUUUGAACAUUAAUGACUCUCCCGCCACUUCCCCAUCUGCUCAAACGCGUCGAUGUAACCAUGCAAGUUUGUUUGCAUUAAUGGCGGGUAGAUGUGAGUGAGUUGUUCUUGUUCCUCCAUUUUUGCUCUAUAUAUAAGCUGCAUGCAGCGUUGAAGCGAGAUAACUAAGCCUUUUUUGAGUUUGAUAGCAAUGGGGUUUUCUCAAAAAUGGGUGUGUGGUUUGGCCCUUCUCAUGAUCUUGGUGUUGAAUUUGAGUGGAGAGAUUCUUGGUGAUGAAAGAGUUGACAAGGAGGGUUGGAGAGAGGACGAUUGCAGGUAUAGCCGGCGCGGCUGCUACGGCCGUGGGAGGGGCGGUUGGGGUGGGCCCGGAGGGGGCCGUGGAGGCUAUGGUGGAGGACGCGGUGGUGGUGCAGGAGGAGGCGGAGGCCUUGGUGGUGGACGUGGUGGUGGAGGUGGACUAGGUGGUGGACGUGGUGGUGGAGGUGGAGGUGGACUAGGUGGUGGUGGUGGAGUUGGAGGGGGUGGUGGACUUGGUGGAGGAGGAGGAGGAGGAGUAGGGGGAGGUUCCGGGAGUGGAGGAGGAUUUGGAGCUGGAGGUGGGGUUGGUGGGGGUGCCGGUGGAGGAGGAGGUCUUGGAGGGGGUGGAGGAGGAGGACAAGGUGGUGGAGGCGGGAUCGGGGGUGGUUCUGGCUCGGGUGGAGGGUUUGGAGCGGGAGGUGGUGUUGGAGGCGGAGCGCCUAUUUGUCUUCUGGAAUCUGGAUUCUGAUAAUUGGUAAGUUUGUUCGAUUGUUCCGUUCCUUUUAAAUUUUUAAUGUUGAUUUUCAUUUUUUUAAUAUCUUCGGCUUUCGCCGCCUCGGCAAAUAUUAGGAUAUAGUAAUCACGGAAAAAUUCUGGUAAAUUACAUCACGAAAAAUAUUAGAAUAUAGUCAUAUAGCCGCAAUAAGUUAGUAGUUAAUCGACAUUAUCUAAUUCAAGUCAAAUUAUUNUGGUUCCGGUUCCGGUGGAGGGUUUGGAGCGGGAGGUGGUGUUGGAGGCGGUGCAGGUGGAGUAGGUGGAGGAGGUGGUGGUGGGGGUGGAGGCGGAGGUGGAGGAGGUGGUUUAGGGGGAGGAUCUGGCCAUGGUAGUGGAUUUGGUGCCGGAGGUGUUGGCGGUGGUGGAGGUGGAGGCGGAGGAGGUGGUGGCGGUGGAGGAGGAGGUUUAGGUGGUGGUUCGGGGCAUGGUGGUGGGUUCGGUGGUGGUGCUGGUGGAGGAUUGGGAGGCGGAGCUGGUGGUGGCCUAGGAGGUGGAGCUGGCGGAGGGCGUGGUGGAGGAGUUGGUGUAGGUAUCGGCAUUGGGAUUGGCGUGGGAGUAGGCGGUGGUUCCGGCUCAGGCACCGGCGUUGGGGUAGGCAGCGGCUCCGGCGGUGGAGGUGGCCGAUGAAGAUAAUUAUGUUAAAAUAUUUACUACAUAACUUUGGCUUCUUGAUGUUUCUCCUUUUCAAAAUAGAAUUAUAUCGUGUGUGAAAGUUGUAUUGCAACAGUUCCUCUUCAAUUAUAGCCUUCUUUAACAAACAAGAAACAGAAGGCAAGUAAAUUUAAUGAAUUGAAAAUUAUCUUUUCUUGAAUUAUCUUCAAC
rnacentral:lncRNA from 1 species